rnacentral:tRNA from 1 species
GCAGUAGUGGUUCAGUGGUAGAACUCUAGCCUUCAAGCAGGAGAUCUGGAAUUGAUUUCCGGCCGAUGCA